rnacentral:rRNA from 1 species
GAUCAUGGCUCAGGAUGAACGCUGGCGGCGUGCCUAACACAUUCAAGUCGAACGGAGCCAUCGGAUUAAUCCUUCGGGAAGCGUCUGAGAAGCUUAGUGGCGGACGUGUGAGUAACGCGUGAGCAACCUGCCCUUGCAACCGGGGUAACAGUUGGAAACGACUGCUAAUACGGGAUGACGUACACGGGUCGCAUGGCCUGUGUACCAAAGAUGCGUCGUGCAAAGAUGGGCUCGCG